rnacentral:misc_RNA from 1 species
AACGCACAUUGCGCCCGGCAGUAAUCUGCCGGGCAUGCCUGUCCGAGCGUCAUUUCUGCCCUCGAGCGAGUUCCAGCAUCUAGGUGCUGGAGCCCGCCCGGCGUUGGGGCACUACGGUAGAGCACCUGUGCUGUCCGUAGGCCCUGAAAUGAAGUGGCGGUCCUGCCGCGGCGCCCCCUGCGUAGUAUAACAGCUCGCUUCGGGACCCGGUGGAGGCCAGCCGUCAAACCUAUAUUCUCUAAGUUUGACCUCGGAUCAGGUAGGGUUACCCGCUGAACUUAA